rnacentral:misc_RNA from 1 species
AAGUCGUAACAAGGUUUCCGUAGGUGAACCUGCGGAAGGAUCAUUAUUGAAUAAACUUGGUCAGGUUGUUGCUGGCUCUUAGGAGCAUGUGCACACCUGAUUCAUUUUUAACCACCUGUGCACUCUUUGUAGACCUGAAUAACUCUCGAGGGGACUCGGUUUUAGAAUUGCUGUGUGUAAACACUGCUUUUCUUGCAUAUUCUGGUCUAUGUUUCUACAUACUCCAUUUGAAUGUAAUAGAAUGUUGUCAUAGGACUUUGUGCCUUUAAAACAAAUACAACUUUCAACAACGGAUCUCUUGGCUCUC